rnacentral:rRNA from 1 species
AACGAACGCUGGCGGCAUGCCUAACACAUGCAAGUCGAACGAGACCUUCGGGUCUAGUGGCGCACGGGUGCGUAACGCGUGGGAAUCUGCCCUUGGGUUCGGAAUAACAGUUGGAAACGACUGCUAAUACCGGAUGAUGACGUAAGUCCAAAGAUUUGUCGCCCAGGGAUGAGCCCGCGUAGGAUUAGCUAGUUGGUGGGGUAAAGGCCUACCAAGGCGACGAUCCUUAGCUGGUCUGAGAGGAUGAUCAGCCACACUGGGACUGAGACACGGCCCAGACUCCUACGGGAGGCAGCAGUGGGUAAUAUUGGACAAUGGGCGAAAGCCUGAUCCAGCAAUGCCGCGUGAGUGAUGAAGGCCUUAGGGUUGUAAAGCUCUUUUACCCGGGAUGAUAAUGACAGUACCGGGAGAAUAAGCCCCGGCUAACUCCGUG